rnacentral:rRNA from 1 species
UACGUAGGGAGCAAGCGUUGUCCGGAAUCAUUGGGCGUAAAGCGCGCGUAGGUGGCUUCAUAAGUCCGUUGUGAAAGUCAAAGGCUCAACCUUUGAAAGCCGAUGGAUACUGUGGAGCUAGAGUACGGAAGAGGCGAGUGGAAUUCCUGGUGUAGCGGUGGAAUGCGCAGAUAUCAGGAGGAACACCAAUAGCGAAGGCAGCUCGCUGGGACGUUACUGACACUGAGGCACGAAAGCGUGGGGAGCAAACAGG